GUAACGUGACUGUAAAUCAAGGGCGCUUGAGACCAUAGACACGCGCGCCCAAAAGGGUUAAUCGGCGGAGAGGGUGGAGAGAAGCUCCUCCUGCGGUCUGUGUUGAUUCAGACUGCUGAAAGAGAACCAGAGCUCCAGCGGGCGAGUGGGAGCCCGGCGGUCCUGCACCGCGCGCGGUCCCCGGCUGAAGGGCUGGGGUGGCGCCGGGCUGGGGCAGGGCGCCACCUGGGAACCGCGGACCCGGCUGCGACCCGCGCGCCCCCUGCCCACCUCUUGACAGGAGUGCUCUGCCCACCUGGACUGAGGGAACAGCCCUGGCAAAGUCUCAAGACAGGUCAAGAAACUGGGGAAGGCAAUCAGCUCUUGCAUCGUCCACAUUGUUUCUGGAGCACAGCCUGGCUGAUCCUGGGGCUAGAGCUCAGAACCAGAUCCAGCUUAGAAAUAAUGUUUCACUCAAGAUAAGGCUUGUGGUUUAGGAGAUUCUGGUCUGGCCUGCCUCACUUUAAGACUUCUAUCAUCUCUUUUCAAAACCUGAGGAGGACCUCAUUUCCUGUUUGAUAGUUCUUCAUGCUUUGCCAGCCUCCGGGUCUUUAACGAAGCUUGCCAAGAAUUCCCGGCUGGGAAGGACAGCCUGAGUUCAUCAUAGAGAAUGAGCUGGCACCACAGUUGUAGUGACUCACCAACCUCAUUGCAACUUUGCAAUGGCAAGAACCACACUAUCUAAUUGAAAGACCUGUGUUUUAACAAAGUGCAAUUGGAUCACAUGGCAAAAUCCUCUCA
ensembl:lncRNA